CCUACGGGCGGCUGCAGUGGGGAAUAUUGGACAAUGGGCGAAAGCCUGAUCCAGCCAUGCCGCAUGUGUGAAGAAGGCCUUCGGGUUGUAAAGCACUUUCAGUGGGGAAGAAAGCCUUGGGGCUAAUACCCUCGAGGAAGGACAUCACCCACAGAAGAAGCACCGGCUAACUCCGUGCCAGCAGCCGCGGUAAUACGGAGGGUGCGAGCGUUAAUCGGAAUUACUGGGCGUAAAGCGCGCGUAGGCGGUCUGAUAAGCCGGUUGUGAAAGCCCCGGGCUCAACCUGGGAACGGCAUCCGGAACUGUCAGGCUAGAGUGCAGGAGAGGAAGGUAGAAUUCCCGGUGUAGCGGUGAAAUGCGUAGAGAUCGGGAGGAAUACCAGUGGCGAAGGCGGCCUUCUGGACUGACACUGACGCUGAGGUGCGAAAGCGUGGGUAGCAAACAGGAUUAGAUACCCGUGUAGUC
rnacentral:rRNA from 1 species